AGGAGGGUUAGAGAGGGUUAGAGAGGGGUUAGAGAGGGGUAGGAGGGUUAGAGAGGGGUAAGGAGGGUUAGAGAGGGUAAGGAGGGUAGAGAGGGGGUCGGAGCGGUAGAGGGGGUAGAGAGGAGAGUUAUGAACCUCAACUGAGUGACCCUCCAACUGUAUUUACUGUGUAGAGGGGACCAUAGCUUUCUGGCCCCUUGUAUUUAAAAUACUUUAGCCUCAACUGAGUGACCCUCCAACCGUAUUUACUAACAGUAUUGUCCUCUUUAGUGAGAUGAGGCUGACAGAAAGGACACACACUGAGUCUCCAUGUUGUCU
ensembl:lncRNA